rnacentral:sRNA from 1 species
UGACAGGCCACUUGACAGGUGGUCAGGAAGAAGUCAAAUCUUCUAGAGGAGAAUCAACCACUGACCUACCAGAAUCCACCAUGGACCUGGAGUCACCCACAGAUGUGUACCUGGAGAACAGCCAGGCUUUCGAAAAUGAAGCAAAUUCUCCAUUAGCUGUGAUGAUCACUGCUAUCCACUACUUUCUAAGAAGAUUCUGUGCUUUUGAGCAUGCCUACCACUACACUAUAGGAGAUCUAUUGUAGAAAACUAGAAAAACAUAGGAUGUGCCCAGCUGAGGCAUUGAUCCUGGCUGGGUGGGGGGAAUUGUUCAGGGAUGGGGAAGGGGCACUUCUUAGCUGUGUCUCAUUGAGUACGGGCUCAAUAAAUAAUUGAAUUUUGAGAGUG